rnacentral:rRNA from 1 species
ACGGAAGGCAGCAGUGGGGAAUAUUGCACAAUGGGCGCAAGCCUGAUGCAGCGACGCCGCGUGAGCGAAGAAGUAUUUCGGUAUGUAAAGCUCUAUCAGCAGGGAAGAAAAUGACGGUACCUGACUAAGAAGCUCCGGCUAAAUACGUACCAGCAGCCGCGGUAAUACGUAUGGAGCAAGCGUUAUCCGGAUUUACUGGGUGUAAAGGGAGUGUAGGCGGGACUGUAAGUCAGAUGUGAAAUAUACCGGCUCAACCGGUAGACUGCAUUUGAAACUGCGGUUCUUGAGUGAAGUAGAGGUAAGCGGAAUUCCUAGUGUAGCGGUGAAAUGCGUAGAUAUUAGGAGGAACAUCAGUGGCGAAGGCGGCUUACUGGGCUGUAACUGACGCUGAGGCUCGAAAGCGUGGGGAGCAAACAGGAUUAGAUACCCUGGUA